UACGAAGGGGGCUAGCGUUGUUCGGAAUCACUGGGCGUAAAGAGCUCGUAGGCGGCUCGGUAAGUCGGGUGUGAAAACUCGGGGCUCAACCCCGAGACGCCACUCGAUACUGCCAUGGCUUGAGUCCGGUAGGGGAGCGUGGAAUUCCUGGUGUAGCGGUGAAAUGCGCAGAUAUCAGGAGGAACACCGGUGGCGAAGGCGGCGCUCUGGGCCGGUACUGACGCUGAGGUGCGAAAGCGUGGGGAGCAAACAGG
rnacentral:rRNA from 1 species